rnacentral:rRNA from 1 species
UACGUAGGCGGAAAAUUAAGUCAGUGGUGAAAUCCUGCAGCUUAACUGUAGAACUGUCAUUGAUACUGGUUUUCUCGAAUACAGUUGAGGUAGGCGGAAUGUGUAAUGUAGCGGUGAAAUGCUUAGAUAUUACACAGAACACCGAUUGCGAAGGCAGCUUACUAAACUGUUAUUGACGCUGAGGUACGAAAGCGUGGGGAGCGAACAGGAUUAGAUACCCUGGUAGUCC